rnacentral:rRNA from 1 species
CCUACGGGUGGCAGCAGUGAGGAAUAUUGGUCAAUGGGCGGGAGCCUGAACCAGCCAAGUCGCGUGAGGGAAGACGGUCCUACGGAUUGUAAACCUCUUUAGCCGGGGAGCAACGCGGUGCUUGCGUGCGCCCAGUGAGAGUACCCGCAGAAAAAGCAUCGGCUAACUCCGUGCCAGCAGCCGCGGUAAUACGGAGGAUGCGAGCGUUAUCCGGAUUUAUUGGGUUUAAAGGGUGCGUAGGCGGGCUUUUAAGUCAGCGGUCAAAUGUCGGGGCUCAACCCCGGCCGGCCGUUGAAACUGGGGACCUGGAGUGGGCGAGAAGUAUGCGGAAUGCGUGGUGUAGCGGUGAAAUGCAUAGAUAUCACGCAGAACUCCGAUUGCGAAGGCAGCAUACCGGCGCCCGACUGACGCUGAGGCACGAAAGCGUGGGGAUCGAACAGGAUUAGAUACCCGGGUAGUC